rnacentral:misc_RNA from 1 species
CCGAGUUAUACAACUCAUUAACCCUGUGAACAUACCUAUAACGUUGCCUCGGCGGGAACAGACGGCCCCGUAACACGGGCCGCCCCCGCCAGAGGACCCCCUAACUCUGUUUCUAUAAUGUUUCUUCUGAGUAAACAAGCAAAUAAUUA